UACGUAGGUGGCAAGCGUUGUCCGGAUUUACUGGGCGUAAAGGGCGUGCAGGCGGUUUGUUAAGUGCAGAGUGAAAGCUCCCGGCUCAACUGGGAGAGGUCUUUGCAUACUGGCAAACUCGAGGGAGGCAGAGGAAAGUGGAAUUCCCGGUGUAGUGGUGAUAUGCGUAGAUAUCGGGAGGAACACCUGUGGCGAAGGCGGCUUUCUGGGGCCUUACCUGACGCUGAGACGCGAAA
rnacentral:rRNA from 1 species